rnacentral:rRNA from 1 species
AGCAGCCGCGGUAAUUCCAGCUCCAAUAGCGUAUAUUAAAGUUGUUGCAGUUAAAAAGCUCGUAGUUGAACUUCGAGGUUUACCCAUUGGUCAGGCUUAAUUGUCUGUACUGGUGAGAUGAAUCUCUACCUUCUGAGGAACUUUCAUGUCAUUCAUUAUUAAUUUGGUGUGAUUGGAAAUCAGGACUGUUACUUUGAGAAAAUUAGAGUGUUUAAAGCAGGCUAACGUCUGAAUACAUUAGCAUGGAAUAAUGAAAUAGGACGGACUGAUUCUAUUUCGUUGGUUUCUAGGAUCACCGUAAUGAUUAAUAGGGAUAGUUGGGGGCAUUAGUAUUCAAUUAUCAGAGGUGAAAUCCUUGGAUUUAUUGAAGACUAACUACUGCGAAAGCAUUUGCCAAGGAUGUUUUCAUUAAUCAAGAACGAAAGUUAGGGGAUCGAAGACGAUCAGAUACCGUCGUAGUCCUAACCAUAAACUAUGCCGACUAGGGAUCGGACGAAGUUAAUUUAU